rnacentral:sRNA from 1 species
AAUCAAUUUGCCUCACU